UACGAAGGGGGCGAGCGUUGUUCGGAAUUACUGGGCGUAAAGGGCGCGCAGGCGGCGAGUUUUGUCAGGCGUGAAAGCCCCGGGCUCAACCUGGGAACUGCGCUUGAAACGGGCUUGCUGGAGACCGGGAGAGGAGAGUGGAAUUCCCAGUGUAGAGGUGAAAUUCGUAGAUAUUGGGAAGAACACCAGUGGCGAAGGCGGCUCACUGGCCCGAUACUGACGCUGAGGCACGAAAGCGUGGGGAGCAAACAGG
rnacentral:rRNA from 1 species